GACGAACGCUGGCGGCGUGCCUAACACAUGCAAGUCGAACGGGACCAGGGGCAACUCUGGUUCAGUGGCGGACGGGUGCGUAACACGUGAGGAACAUGACCUUCGGCGGGGGAGUAGCCGGCCCAACGGCCGGGUAAUACCGCGUACGACCAUUUGGGGACGAUCCCUGGGUGGUGAAAGCAGCAAUGCGCCGAUGGAGUGCCUCGCGGCCUAUCAGCUAGUUGGUGAGGUAACGGCUCACCAAGGCGACGACGGGUAGCUGGUCUGAGAGGAUGGCCAGCCACAUUGGGACUGAGACACGGCCCAGACUCCUACGGGAGGCAGCAGUGGGGAAUAUUGCGCAAUGGACGAAAGCCUGACGCAGCGACGCCGCGUGGGGAUGAAGGUCUUCGGAUUGUAAACCCCGUUUCGGGAGGGAAGACGGCCUUAGACAACUAAGGCGGACGGUACCUCCAGAAGCAGCCACGGCUAACUUCGUGCC
rnacentral:rRNA from 1 species